CCUUGAGAAGCUAAUACAGCGUUGGUCUUGUAAACCAAAAAUAAGAAAAUCUCUCCAGGGC
rnacentral:tRNA from 1 species